CGACACGAGUUUGCACCGUAUCAAGAACAACGUAGAUGAAUCUUGUAGAAAACCCUAGAUGACGGCGUUGAGUCAACCACAAUAAGAUAAUAGGACCGUAAAUUCUUUAAGCAUAACUCCAAAAGAGUACAAGUGAUUAUCACUCACUCACAACCCUACUUGACCCUCUAGGAUCAUUUGAUUCUUGCUCUAUACAAGAAUCUAGUGCUAUAGAACUGUCUAGCCUAUCCCUCUUGAGCGCUCCUAAUUGCCUCUCACAAGCUUUGGAUGAGACCUUGGUGUUUGCCUUUGGCUUGAUU
rnacentral:lncRNA from 1 species